GGGGUCCUCCUAAUUAACUUCUUGGACCCCAUGAAUCUCUCAAAAUCAAAAUUAUGAAGGGUCCCUGAAAAACUUCUCAGUACGUUGUGCUGUCGGUUAGCGAAAAAUAGAUGCUCAAAUACAAAUUCAAGGAGACGUCAUGGUUUAGCUGGUUCACCACCAAAAAGAGCUUCUGUCUGCGGCACUGGUCUGCCUCAGGCUUGCUUUGUAGCAAAUUAGUUCACCCAGUUGACCCUUCAUAGCCAAGCAACUGUGACUAUGCCUGGGAUACAUAGCUGGCUUCAGGAAGCAGCCCACCUGGCCAACCAUGCUGCCAGUGCCUCUUCAAAGCAUUGUUGGAGGGCCGUGGCCAAUGCCACCAGGCCACCAUGCUGUUCUGCGGGCAGGUCUUUGCUGCCGGCUGCCAUCGAAGCAUCCUCUCUGCUGCCCCUGAACCAACGGUUCAGCUUGAAAAGGCCUUCAGUUUGUUAACUAACUAGAAACUAACUUCAGUGUGACGCUCGGAUAAAGAGAAAUUGCCUAAAUCCUUCUUCAGUUUUCCGUCGUAUUUCUAGCAGUUAGUGUAAAUUAGUCUGUGGGCUGUGCGUGAAAAUAAUAACACAAUACCUUAAGACAUUUAACGAUACAUGAGAUGCAUCACAACAUUUAUUUUUCUGAGGUUUGAUAAAGUGGAAUAGACAAAAUACACCAGUAGUGCCACCAUUUAGGAUCUUUCAGAAUGUGACACGGAUGUCGAGGGGUCUCAGGGUUAGACAUAUACAGAUCAAGAUCCUGCACUGCCUGUACCAGACACCUUGUGGAUUAUGAAUCUCCUGAAUGAAUCUCCUGAAUCUCCCUUUCUUCAUCUACAGUGCCCCAUACUGGAUGUUUUUGGAGACACUGCAGUCUGAGCUCAUUGUUAUAAGUUUACAGCUGACUGGACUCAUACCAGAAUUAUGAUAAGAGGUCAAGUCUUGGCUCAACAAACUGGCAGAAGUUGCAGCAUAAAGAGAAAAUUGACAGUUCAUAAGAUGAAUGUUGGAACUGAUCCACAGUCUGUAGAGGAAGCUGGUUUCAGGGCAUGACCACAUCUGGACUGACGUAACCUCACAUGAUCACUCAUGUCAGCUCAUGCCUCGUCCUGUGACACAGGACAGGAAACCUGUCAAUAAGGACACAAAACAUGGGGAAAAUCUUCCUCUCGCAUCUAAUUAACUGAAUAGAAACCAAUGAAAAGACACCUUCUCUACCUCACAAGCAUCAUGGAUGGUUCAUGAGCACAAGAGUCUAUGGAGGCCCCCCACACUCCAACAGUAACACCAUGAAAAAGGAGAUGUGAUGUGAAAAGAGAUUAAAUAAUAUUUAAAUUAUGUGCACAAAGAGCAAGAUUAGAAUUUUUACUUUCUGUUUGGAAAUUUAGAUUCAUUCAUGUGUGAUAUCCUAUUGAGUCUAAAUCAUUACAGUCUGUGUAAUAUUUAUAUAUAGUCAUAUUAUGUCUGUGACUGCCUGACUGCAGUUAUUUGAGCCCAAUUAUUUUUCCACAAUUUUUAGUUUUCACAAGCAAAUAUUUAUGUUGCAACAAACAGAAUGUGAAUUAAGUGGUUUUAUCAGU